rnacentral:rRNA from 1 species
GACGAACGCUGGCGGCGUGCUUAAUACAUGCAAGUAGAACGCACAGUUUAUACCGUAGCUUGCUACACCAUAGACUGUGAGUUGCGAACGGGUGAGUCACGCGUCGGUAACCUGCCUGGUAGCGGGGGAUAACUAUUGUAAACGAUAGCUAAUACCGCAUAAUAUUAAUUAUUGCAAGAUAAUUAAUUCAAAGGUGCAAUUGCACCACUACCAGAUGGACCUGCGUUGUAUUAGCUAGUAGGGGAGGUAACGGCUCACCUAGGCGACGAUACAUAGCCGACCUGAAAGGGAGAACGGCCACACUGGGAGUGAGACACGGCCGAGACUCCUACGGGGGGCAGCAGUAGGGAAUCUUCGGCGAGGGAGGAGAGGCUGACCGAGCAACGCGGGGGGAGGGAAGAAGGAUUUCGGAUCGGAAAGCUCUGUUGUAAGAGGGGAAGGGGUGUGAGAGUGGAAAGGUCACAUUGUGACGGUAGCGGAACAGAAAGGGACGGCUAACUACGUG